GUGUUUCGAGAGUUCUCCUGUGUGGCCUGAAUGUCCUUCUGCAAUUCCAGCUGCACUUGUUCCACCAUAAAGCGAACUUCUGAAAUUAAGCUAUCGUGUUCAAAAAUUGCUGAUGGGUGGAUUCCAUUUUUGCAGCCAGCUUUGCAAACGUUGCAUCGUGCAGAGAAAUGGAUUUUGCAGAUUCUUGGGAGUGGGAAGGUGGCCUGGCAGGCGAUGCUGUGACACUUAGGAAGGUGAUACAGUUUCAGUGGAGGUGCAGAGUUCCAUAGGAUCCGGCUGAAAUAAAGCAGCGCCACCUGGAGGUGCGGAGG